rnacentral:rRNA from 1 species
GGGUGAGUAACGCGUGGGUAACCUGCCCCAUAGAGGGGGACAACAGUUGGAAACGACUGCUAAUACCGCAUAGUAAGGAACUGCCGCAUGACGGUUUCUUGAAAGAUUUAUCGCUAUGGGAUGGACCCGCGUCUGAUUAGCUAGUUGGUAAGGUAACGGCUUACCAAGGCGACGAUCAGUAGCCGGCUUGAGAGAGUGAACGGCCACAUUGGGACUGAGACACGGCCCAAACUCCUACGGGAGGCAGCAGUGGGGAAUAUUGCACAAUGGGGGAAACCCUGAUGCAGCGACGCCGCGUGAGUGAAGAAGUAUUUCGGUAUGUAAAGCUCUAUCAGCAGGGAAGAUAAUGACGGUACCUGACUAAGAAGCCCCGGCUAACUACGUGCCAGCAGCCGCGGUAAUACGUAGGGGGCAAGCGUUAUCCGGAUUUACUGGGUGUAAAGGGUGCGCAGGUGGCAGGGCAAGUCAGAUGUGAAAGCCCGGGGCUCAACCCCGGUAUUGCAUUUGAAACUGUCCGGCUAGAGUGCAGGAGAGGUAAGCGGAAUUCCUAGUGUAGCGGUGAAAUGCGUAGAUAUUAGGAGGAACACCAGUGGCGAAGGCGGCUUACUGGACUGUAACUGACACUGAGGCACGAAAGCGUGGGGAGCAAACAGGAUUAGAUACCCUGGCAGUCCACGCCGUAAACGAU